CACGGGGGGAGCAAGCGUUGUUCGGAAUCACUGGGCGUAAAGGGCGUGUAGGCGGUCCGCUAAGUCUGAUGUGAAAGCCCCGGGCUCAACCUGGGAAUUGCAUUUGAGACUGAAUAGCUAGGGUGCGGAAGAGGGAAGCGGAAUUUCCGGUGUAGCGGUGAAAUGCGUAGAUAUCGGAAGGAACACCAGUGGCGAAAGCGGCUUCCUGGUCCAGCACCGACGUCAGGCACGAAAGCGUGGGGAGCAAACAGG
rnacentral:rRNA from 1 species